rnacentral:lncRNA from 1 species
GGAGCUUACAAAGGAAUGAGCAAGAGGAAAGAAGAUUCUGGUCUCACUUAAAAUGGACUGCAGUACCUCCUCUGCUUGAAAUUCAAAGAAGCCAAGAUGUACGGGAAAGAAGACCAGCAGGAAGAACCGUGAGAAACGCAGUAGCAGUAGGAAAGAAAGCAAGAGAUGAUUUGAGAUUCCUUUAGAGAUCAAUUGGAAAGACUGGAAAACUGCUUUCAUAUAGAAAGUUGGAGAUUAAACAAUCAUAAGUCAACUGAUAAGCAGGUGAUGGGAAAGGUUUGAAACUUUUAA